rnacentral:rRNA from 1 species
GACGAACGCUGGCGGCGUGCCUAAUACAUGCAAGUCGAGCGCAGGAAACCAGAUGACCCCUUCGGGGUGAUUCUGGCGGAAUGAGCGGCGGACGGGUGAGUAACAAGUGGGCAACCUGCCUGUAAGACAGGGAUAACUUCGGGAAACCGGAGCUAAUUCCGGAUAGUAUUUCCUUUCCCCUGAUUGGAAAUGGAAAGACGGUUUCGGCUGUCACUUACAGAUGGGCCCGCGGUGCAUUAGCUAGUUGGUGGGGUAAUGGCCCACCAAGGCGACGAUGCAUAGCCGACCUGAGAGGGUGAUCGGCCACACUGGGACUGAGACACGGCCCAGACUCCUACGGGAGGCAGCAGUAGGGAAUCUUCCGCAAUGGACGAAAGUCUGACGGAGCAACGCCGCGUGAGCGAUGAAGGCCUUCGGGUCGUAAAGCUCUGUUGUUAGGGAAGAACAAGUACGAGAGUAACUGCUCGUACCUUGACGGUACCUAACCAGAUAGCCCCGGCUAACUACGUGCCAGCCGCCGCCGUAAAAC